ACAGUCUUUAUUUCCGGCUCUGUGUACUUGCUGGGGAAAUAAAUCUCGAACGUUACAGAAAUCGUUUGAAUUCAAGCGUUGUCUUUAAUACCCUCAUUAGCAUCAACUCUCCACUUUUCACACGAUUUUUAUUGAAUGUAUCCACCGUUAAUUCUACUGUGUGAAUCUGAAUAUAAAUACGUAAGUCCCAAUCCGAGAAAUUCAUCAGUUCAAGGAGAGAGAGGAAGUUAAAGUUGAUUGAGGAUAAUGAUGAGUACGAUGGUGAAGACCUUCUCUUUUCUUGAAUCAAAUACAUUCCACAUAAGUCUAAGGUGAAAACCGCCAAUGAGAUCUUCAGUCCUGGAAUAUCAAGUGCAGAAAUUCAAAGACUAUGAAAAGUUGAAUGAUGCUUACAAGAAGUUCAUAGUGGGACUAUGAAAAGACUCAAGCCAGCUGAUGAGAUACAGGGAGACAAGCGUUAGGAUCACAAAUCAUAUACCCAAAACCGAAUCACUCAUCCAAGUCACAUUUUCCUACCUGUACAAACAGUCAGACAAGCCAAACCAGAUUUUGGUUCUUGGGACAGACUGGGACGCAUAGCAGAGAGGAAUGAAGGAAACAACUCUUCACCUAUAAGAUGGACAACAUUCAAGGUAAUAUAGAAAACCUUCCCUUGUGGUGUGCCUCUUUUUGGCUGGUAAUAUAAAAGCUAGCAUAUUCUUUGAUUGUUUUGUUCCAUUUAAUCAUGUUAUUUGUAUAUAUUUCACGUUGUUGUAGUUGUUACUAUGUAAAAACUGAGAAAGUGAUAUUUGAUGGGAUAUGAGUUACAUGCUUUCA